rnacentral:ncRNA from 2 species
GCCCUCUUGUCGGGGCGCCUUGGUAGCACAGCUAUUGCGAAGGCUGAGAUGGGUUCGGCCCAACCCGUAGAACCUGAUCAGGUUGAGACCUGCGGAGGGAACAAGUGCUGCCCAUCC